GUCAUGCAAGUCGAGCGAGAAGGUGUAGCAAUACACAUGUAAAGCGGCGAACGGGUGAGGAAUACAUGGGUAAUCUACCAUCGAGUGGGGAAUAACCAGCCGAGAGGUUGGCUAAUACCGCGUACGCCUCCGGAUCUUCGGGUUCGGAGGGAAAGCCACACUGUGAGUGCGGCGCUCUUUGAUGAGCUCAUGUCCUAUCAGCUUGUUGGUAGGGUAACGGCCUACCAAGGCUUUGACGGGUAGCUGGUCUGAGAGGACGAUCAGCCACACUGGCACUGCGACACGGGCCAGACUCCUACGGGAGGCAGCAGUAAGGAAUAUUGCGCAAUGGGCGAAAGCCUGACGCAGCGACGCCGCGUGGGGGAUGAAGGUCUUCGGAUUGUAAACCCCUUUUGGUAGGGAAGAUGGAGCGAGCAAUCGUUCGGACGGUACCUCCAGAAGCAGCCACGGCCAACUUCGUGCCAGCAGCCGCGGUAAUACGAAGGUGGCAAGCGUUGUUCGGAUUCACUGGGCGUACAGGGUGUGUAGGCGGUUUGGUAAGCCUUCUGUUAAAGCUUCGGGCCCAACCCGGAAAGCGCAGAGGGUACUGCCAGGCUAGAGGGUGGGAGAGGAGCGCGGAAUUCCCGGUGUAGCGGUGAAAUGCGUAGAGAUCGGGAGGAAGGCCGGUGGCGAAGGCGGCGCUCUGGAACAUACCUGACGCUGAGACACGAAAGCGUGGGGAGCAAACAGGAUUAGAUACCCUGGUAGUCCACGCCCUAACUAUGGAUACUAAGUGUCGGCGGGUACCGCGUGCGCAGCUACGCAUAGUAUCCCGCUGGAGUACGCGCAGUGAACUCAAGAUGACGGGGCCGCCAGCGUGAGCAUGUGUUAUCGACGCAACGCGAGACCUUC
rnacentral:rRNA from 1 species